UGAAAGUAACGGCAACGUUGUCGGCAUCGUCGUCGCAUUUGCUUCAUCAUUCCAGCCGACGCGACGGCAGCGCAGUUGGCAGCGUCAUUCUAUGGCGCUCUCUUCCAAGCUCUCCCGCGCGCUCUCUUUCUCUCGCUGACUGUGUGCGUAACGCAUUGUACUGCUCGCUCUCUCUCUACCUAUUGCCAUCCCACUCCGGCAUUGGCGUGCCCUUAUGCAAUGGCUGGCAUGUAAUGAUUAUUGCUUGCAAAACACACACUUCCUCAUGCUUAGCUUUAAGCUUUUUGCGCACUUUUAUCAGACGCAGCCAAUUUACCGUUUAUGCAGGCGUGUAUUUGUGUAUUGUGUUUGUUUGUAUUGAGCAGCUUGCGCAAUAAUUAGUUUCGUUACUUUUUGGACUUUCGUUUUCAUUUCGAUUUCGGCUGCUGCUACCGAUUUUGUUGCUGUUGUUGUUGUUGUUGUUGCUGCUGCUACUGCUUAUUACUCUUUGUUUUUGUUUGUUAAAAAGUUAUUGUUUUGAACUUGACAUUGAAUUUCGGUUUUAAUUGCAUAUUGUUAUAUAUAUAUACGUACAUAUGUAUGUGUGUGUGUAUGUGUUUGUCUGUGCGCUUGUGGCGCUAAAUGUCUCGAAAUUCCCAUGCGGAAGCAUUAAUUAAGCCGCUCCGCAGCUAAUUUGUUUAACAGCAUAUUAUUUACAGCCAACACAAUACACACACACACACACACAUACACAAACAGAGUGCAACAUGCAACAUGCAGCACCACUGUAAUUAUGACAAAGCCAGCUAAUUGAAUUUUAUGUUAGUCAAAAG